rnacentral:rRNA from 1 species
UACGUAGGGGGGCAAGCGUUGUCCGGGAUUUAUUGGGCGUAAAGAGCGUGUAGGCGGCUAGAUAGGUCCGUUGUGAAAACUCGAGGCUCAACCUCGAGACGUCGAUGGAAACCAUCUGGGCUAGAGUCCGGAAGAGGAGAGUGGAAUUCCUGGUGUAGCGGUGAAUGGCGCAGAUAUCAGGAAGAACACCCGUGGCGAAGGCGGCUCUCUGGGACGGUACUGACGCUGAGACGCGAAAGCGUGGGGAGCAAACAGG